UCAACGCUGGCGGCGUGCCUAACACAUGCAAGUCGAACGCGAAAGUGGAGCAAUCCAUGAGUAGAGUGGCAAACGGGUGAGUAACACGUGGGUGACCUGCCUUCGAGUGGGGGAUAACGUCCCGAAAGGGACGCUAAUACCGCAUAAUAUGCUGUCUUUUAAGAGAGAGACAUCAAAGCCGGGGACCGUAAGGCCUGGCGCUUGAAGAGGGGCCCGCGCCUGAUUAGCUAGUUGGUGGGGUAAUGGCUCACCAAGGCAACGAUCAGUAUCCGGCCUGAGAGGGCGGACGGACACACUGGGACUGAGACACGGCCCAGACUCCUACGGGAGGCAGCAGUGGGGAAUUGUUCGCAAUGGGCGCAAGCCUGACGACGCAACGCCGCGUGGAGGAUGAAGAUCUUCGGGUCGUAAACUCCUUUCGAUCGAGACGAAUGGCCCUUGGGAUAAUACCCUGAGGGAGUGACGGUACCGAGAGAAGAAGCCCCGGCUAACUCCGUG
rnacentral:rRNA from 1 species